rnacentral:rRNA from 1 species
GAGUUUGAUCCUGGCUCAGGAUGAACGCUGGCGGCGUGCCUAAUACAUGCAAGUCGAGCGAACGGACGAGAAGCUUGCUUCUCUGAUGUUAGCGGCGGACGGGUGAGUAACACGUGGAUAACCUACCUAUAAGACUGGGAUAACUUCGGGAAACCGGAGCUAAAUACCGGAUAAUAUUUUGAACCGCAUGGUUCAAAAGUGAAAGACGGUCUUGCUGUCACUUAUAGAUGGAUCCGCGCUGCAUUAGCUAGUUGGUAAGGUAACGGCUUACCAAGGCACGAUGCAUAGCCGACUGAGAGGGUGAUCGGCCACACUGGAACUGAGACACGGUCCAGACUCCUACGGGAGGCAGCAGUAGGGAAUCUUCCGCAAAUGGGCAAAGCCUGACGGAGCAACGCCGCGUGAGUGAUGAAGGUCUUCGAAUCGUAAAACUCUGUUAUUA